rnacentral:tRNA from 1 species
GCAGUGGGGGUUCAGUGGUAGAAUUCUCGCCUUCCAUGCGAGAAACCAGGGUUCGAUUCCCAGGCGGUGCA